rnacentral:rRNA from 1 species
AUUGAACGCUGGCGGAAUGCUUUACACAUGCAAGUCGAGCGGCAGCGCGGGGCAACCUGGCGGCGAGCGGCGAACGGGUGAGUAACAUAUCGGAACGUACCCUGUCGUGGGGGAUAACUAUCCGAAAGGAUAGCUAAUACCGCAUACGACCUGAGGGUGAAAGCGGGGGAUCGCAAGACCUCGCGCGAUAGGAGCGGCCGAUAUCGGAUUAGCUAGUUGGUGAGGUAAAGGCUCACCAAGGCGACGAUCCGUAGCUGGUCUGAGAGGACGACCAGCCACACUGGAACUGAGACACGGUCCAGACUCCUACGGGAGGCAGCAGUGGGGAAUUUUGGACAAUGGGGGCAACCCUGAUCCAGCCAUUCCGCGUGAGUGAAGAAGGCCUUCGGGUUGUAAAGCUCUUUCGGCAGGAACGAAACGGUGAUCCCUAAUACGGAUUACUAAUGACGGUACCUGAAGAAGAAGCACCGGCUAACUACGUG